rnacentral:snRNA from 1 species
GACUCUAAACUCUAUCGUUAGA